ensembl:lncRNA
CACUCUCGCUGAGCCUAGGAGCGCGGGGUUCAGUCUCCAAAUGGAUUUUAAACACUUCGAAGGCAGAGAAGGACUCUCCUAAACUUUACGUCUCCCGACUCAGUUGAAUAGAUGAUGCACAUGUUUUGCUGAAACCCUUCUGGGAGUUCGUGGCCCUGCAGUAAACCUUUCUCUGCUCCAAGUCCGUUUUGGUUUGUUUGAUCUCACUGUGCAUCAGGCACCUGAACAUGUCCUACAGCUCCAGGAGUUGGUGAUGGACAGGGAACCCUGCUGUGCUGCAGUCCGUGGGGUCGCAAAGAGUCGGACACGACUGAGCGACUGAACUGAAAUGAACAGAUUCACCAGGUGAAAGUAAUCCAGGCGUCCUUGCCUUUGGUUCGGGCCAUUUUCCAGCCCAAGAGAGGUCCUUUGCUUCCUUCGUUCCCAGAACCAUCUGCUGACCAAUCUGAGGUUAAACAAACCAUUCGUUCAGCUUCCCUCUGCCAACUGGCUACAGAGAGGCAUGUAUCAUAUUGGUGGAUCAGACCUUGACAAUUACAAGGCAUUUAAAUGAUUAGAUUCUGAUUGUCAAAAUUCAAGCCCUUGAAAUAGAAUGCCUGAGCUAAUGCAUUCCACACGCCAGCAUCUCAUUUGCUGAUCAAUGCAUUCAUCAGAAUCAGUGAUGAGCAC